AUAAAUCCUACUAUUUUUUUUAUAAAUCAACUAUAAUUUUUAAUUAUAUCCAAAUUUUAGAUUGAAUGACCAAAUGCAUACAAGAAAAUUCAGUCGUUGUUUGAACCCAGAUGAGUAAACAAUGGCAUGAAUCUGGAUGAUCCAAACAACUUUUUCAACUCAGAGGCCCUUCAAUUAGUCUCGGCAUGGAAUAUGGAUCUCCUCUCCAAAUGUAGUCAAAUUUUUUAUAGGUAGACUAAUUGACAUCUUCGUUUAAAGUUUCAGUAACCAAUACUCGGGAGUUGAUGAAUCACAAGAAGCAAACAAUCUCUACUCUCAUCAAUGUAAGAUUUGAUGGUAUCCAUCCACUUAUUUCUAAUUAGUUCUUCCUUUGUUCUUCGUAUUUUCAUGCAAGAGAGCUGGCCUUUCAUCGUUUAUACCCCUUGUAUCCAAGAAUUGAUAGAAUUUUCUUAUAAUGAAGCUUGCAGUUCAUCAUUCAAUACACUGUAAACAAUUAAAAAUCAGAAAGGUAGCAGGCACAAAAACAAAACGACAGAAGAAAGCAACAUAUUAUCAAAAAAAAAAACCAUAUGCAGCCAUUUGGAUGCUCAUAAAAUAUAACCAAAACUUAAAAAUCCGAAAUGCUGCUCUCUGGCUAGGGAAAAAAAAGGUUAGAUUCAUUUAGCAGAGUUUCCAUUUUUUUCAUGCAAAUAACAUCUCAAGCAUUUCUCCUUUUAUUUCAGUUUUCCCAGUAAAUUAAAUGGCACAUCUAAAAUAAAUCAGUAAAUUAUCAUACUUGAAGUCAGGACAUCUUCUCGUUCUCGCUUGUGCCUGUCAAAAGCUUUGCAAUUUCAAUGGAAUUUGACCAAGUUUAGUACAUGAUCUCUAAGGAACCGUCAUUACCCUUAGAGAUACUAACAAUGAAAGUAAUGUGAAACUGCAUAUUGACAUUACUGUAUCACUAGAUAUUGGACUUGGAAUUCUUCCAUCAAACAAUGUUGCUUCUACCUUAAUCUUCUCAUUCCUUGCAAAUUUCUUUUUUAACAAAAUUCAUUAAUUCCCCGGCUGGUCAUUGAUCUUGGUAGCAAGUUCAAAUCAUUGAAUGUGACAUGCAUUAUGCCAGAAUCAUUAGUCAACUUAACCAAUUGGCCCUUUUAAACAUUUGAAAAUGCAUUCUCUCAAACAAACAAGCUAUAAUAGCUGGGAAAGAAAAAGGCUGGAAAAUAAUAUCAAGAUUGGAAAUUUCAGCUCAAAUCAGCAAUGCCAUUUAAUUCCAUCACGAGUCAAGGAAUCUUGAUUUCAACAGCAAUUAAUUUUUUUAUCCAAUUUAAGUGCUUUUAUAAUCACAAUCCCAGGAACAAAAUAGAGGGACAUUUUUUAUAAGCAUAAAAAAUUUUAUUAAUAGAAAUCCAAGAAAAACUUAACAUAUAGAGUCCACCUAAACCCGGCAUUCAAACGUCUCCAGACACACAACCUAGCACAAUGUAUGUUACAUGAAAAGACCUGGAGACCAGCAGAAACAUCAGAAGAUGACCAACAUAACCCAGCAAACCCAAAGCAAAAUAGAGGGACGGCUCCCAGUUAACAUUAAUACUACUGAAAUAAAAUGGUCUAACAAUCCUAUUAAGCCUUUACCAGAGAGCUCUUCCUACGCAAUUUUUCACUAUACAGCAUUUGUAGUUUGCUUCUGAUUCCAACCAACAUUGUGAUUCUUAAAUAAUGCAAACCCAGAAGCAGACUUAGAAUUCAAUGAAAACCCAUCUAAAAAAAUUUGGAUUUUAAAAAUUCAGCUCUCGAUCUCAUUCUUUCCAAUUGUUCUCAUCCACCACAGAUUAAGGAAAAAGAAAAAUUAAAUUCAAAACAUGCGGAGAUGAAUGAGGCCUUUAAAAGAAAGAAGGAAGAUUACUUGUUUUAGGAGUAUCACAUUGGAGCUCGUAUUGGAAGGAGUCUGAGGAUACUAUAUUCAAAGGCGGAUUUGGGCAUUGCUGAUACGUAACACAUUUCUGACUAGCGUUGUUCAGAACUUCAGUGGACUUCAGUAGGGUUUUAG
rnacentral:lncRNA from 1 species